UACAGAGGGUGCGAGCGUUGUCCGGAAUCACUGGGCGUAAAGGGCGCGUAGGUGGCGCGACAAGUCAGUGGUGAAAGUUCGACGCUCAACGUCGAAUCGGCCACUGAUACUGUUGGGCUUGAGCACUGUAGAGGCUAAUGGAAUUCCGGGUGUAGCGGUGGAAUGCGUAGAGAUCCGGAAGAACACCGGUGGCGAAGGCGGUUAGCUGGGCAGUUGCUGACACUGAGGCGCGGACAGCGUGGGGAGCAAACAGG
rnacentral:rRNA from 1 species